rnacentral:rRNA from 1 species
GACGAACGCUGGCGGCGUGCUUAACACAUGCAAGUCGAACGGAAAGGCCCUGCUUUUGUGGGGUGCUCGAGUGGCGAACGGGUGAGUAACACGUGAGUAACCUGCCCUUGACUUUGGGAUAACUUCAGGAAACUGGGGCUAAUACCGGAUAGGAGCUCCUGCUGCAUGGUGGGGGUUGGAAAGUUUCGGCGGUUGGGGAUGGACUCGCGGCUUAUCAGCUUGUUGGUGGGGUAGUGGCUUACCAAGGCUUUGACGGGUAGCCGGCCUGAGAGGGUGAACGGCCACAUUGGGACUGAGAUAAGGCCCAGACUCCUACGGGAGGCAGCAGUGGGGAAUAUUGCAAAAUGGGCGGAAGCCUGAUGCAGCAACGCCGCGUGCGGGAUGACGGCUUUCGGGUUGUAAACCGCUUUCGCCUGUGACGAAGCGUGAGUGACGGUAAUGGGUAAAGAAGCACCGGCUAACUACGUG